GUGGUUGUGGCUCAGUGGUAGAAUGCUCGCCUAGCAUGUGUGAGGCACUGGGUUCUAUUCUCAGCACCACA
rnacentral:tRNA from 1 species